rnacentral:rRNA from 1 species
CAAGUCGAACGGUGAAGAGGAGCUUGCUCCUUGGAUCAGUGGCGAACGGGUGAGUAACACGUGAGCAAUCUGCCCUUGACUCUGGGAUAACUGCGGGAAACUGUAGCUAAUACCGGAUAUUACCUUGGAAGGCAUUUUCUGGGGUGGAAAGAAUUUUGGUCAAGGAUGAGCUCGCGGCCUAUCAGCUAGUUGGUGAGGUAAUGGCUCACCAAGGCGACGACGGGUAGCCGGCCUGAGAGGGUGACCGGCCACACUGGGACUGAGACACGGCCCAGACUCCUACGGGAGGCAGCAGUGGGGAAUAUUGCACAAUGGGCGCAAGCCUGAUGCAGCAACGCCGCGUGAGGGACGACGGCCUUCGGGUUGUAAACCUCUUUUAGUAGGGAAGAAGCGACUGGGUUUUCCUGGGAGUGACGGUACCUGCAGAAAAAGCACCGGCUAACUACGUGCCAGCAGCCGCGGUAAUACGUAGGGUGCAAGCGUUGUCCGGAAUUAUUGGGCGUAAAGAGCUCGUAGGCGGUUUGUCGCGUCUGCUGUGAAAACCCGAGGCUCAACCUCGGGCCUGCAGUGGGUACGGGCAGACUAGAGUGCGGUAGGGGAGAUUGGAAUUCCUGGUGUAGCGGUGGAAUGCGCAGAUAUCAGGAGGAACACCAAUGGCGAAGGCAGAUCUCUGGGCCGUAACUGACGCUGAGGAGCGAAAGCAUGGGGA